CCGCAGGGAUGAGCCACGGAACUCUCUCUUUCCGACGCUCGUGGGGAAAUCUCAAGACUGCUCUGAGCGGC